rnacentral:rRNA from 1 species
UGGGGAAUAUUGGACAAUGGGGGCAACCCUGAUCCAGCAAUGCCGCGUGUGUGAAGAAGGUCUUCGGAUUGUAAAGCACUUUCGACGGGGACGAUGAUGACGGUACCCGUAGAAGAAGCCCCGGCUAACUUCGUGCCAGCAGCCGCGGUAAUACGAAGGGGGCUAGCGUUGCUCGGAAUGACUGGGCGUAAAGGGCGUGUAGGCGGUUUACACAGUCAGAUGUGAAAUCCCCGGGCUUAACCUGGGAGCUGCAUUUGAUACGUGUAGACUAGAGUGUGAGAGAGGGUUGUGGAAUUCCCAGUGUAGAGGUGAAAUUCGUAGAUAUUGGGAAGAACACCGGUGGCGAAGGCGGCAACCUGGCUCAUGACUGACGCUGAGGCGCGAAAGCGUGGGGAGCAAACAGGAUUAGAUACCCUGGUAGUCCACGCUGUAAACGAUGUGUGCUAGAUGUUGGGUAACUUUGUUAUUCAGUGUCGCAGUUAACGCGUUAAGCACACCGCCUGGGGAGUACGGGCCGCAAG